UACAUAGAGUAACACUUUCAGGAGUAACACUUUGAUUAUUGGUAGGAGUCAUAGCACUUAUAUGGAACACACACACACCACACACACCACACACACACACACACAUUCUCCUUUCACUUUCUGCUAGCUCUCUCUCUCCUCUUUCUUCACUUUUCCCUCUUUUCUCCAUAUACCUCUGCGAUUCACACUUUCCAUCUUCUUCGAUGGAGAACCUCAAAAACUCUCUGAAAUUUUCACCCCAAUCUUUAGAUCCUUACUCCUCUUAACAUCAUCACUAAAUUUCUUAAUAAGAACUCAACGACCAAACCCUAACCCUAGCUCCAACUCAAUCUAACCAUCAAACCACGAGUAGAAGACAACCCCUACGGCUGACGGUGAUCAAUUCGGCGGCGAAGAAGAUAUGACGAGUAGUACAAAAUGCCGUCUUCAUUCGUUUGAGAUGGUGUUGCUGCUGCCGGAAAUCCUUCCUUCCUUCCGGAAAUACGACGAAUUUUAUCGUUAAAUUGAGAAGCACUAUUACUACUGCUAAUACUACAUGCCUACUACUAUGGGGUUCGAGGAAAGAUGAGAAGAAGUUCUUUAGUAUCAUUUGCUUGUCUUUUGAGAGUAUCUGAAGCACCUCAUUGCUCUUUUUGUCCGUUUAAUGGACAAUUUUUCUUCCAGCCAACUACCAAUCAUUAAGAAUAACUGGCAGGAAGUCUUAGCUUAUUUCCAUGUAUCAGAACUGCAAAAGUAUGACAUGUGCAUAUUGGAAAAUAAUCUAAAGGUUUGCUAUUGUGGAGUGGUGUUAUAUAUAUGUUUGAUGAACCUUCAAGUUAUUUGGAUGUGAAACAAAGGCGAAAAGCUGCCAAAGUUAUCUGAUGAUUGCUAAACCCAAAAAGGUAUAUUUUCAUACUUGAUCUUUCUUGUCUUCUAUUUAUGUAUCAAUUUAUGCUCCGAUUAAUUAAUGAGAGUUUUGAUAAGGGAAGAAUUUAUGCUCUUAUUAAUCAAUUUGUGCUAUUGCAUUCGAUUCUUAUAAUGUUGUUAAUUAACAGAAGUACAUCAGUAGUUAGGGAGGUUAGGUGGUGUUCUCAAAUGUUUUAUAUUGCUAAAAUAUGACAAUUGUCCACAAUAUGUUUUUAUGAUUGCAUUCAUUGCGACUGAAUUUCCUUGUAGCCCUUUUUUUUUUUCUGUUUGGGAGGUUACUAGGAAUGGAAGCAGUUGGAGAGGUGGCAAAAAGGUGGGUGGCAAUGGGUUUAUAUGCACAGAAGCUGAUCCUUCCGACUGACAGAGCUGCUGUUGUUCUGUUUCUGAGUUGAUGUUGUUCUAUUUCCGAGCUGCUGCUGUUGUUGCAUGUUGCUGAUGUUCUGCUUCUGAACUGCUGUUAUGCUUUCGAGCUACUACUAAUUUGCACGUAAUUUUUUUUUUUUUUAUAUGAAAUUGUAAUAUUACAAGUAUUUAUUAAUAAAAAAUAUCUAAGUUUUUAUAUGUAUUAUGGUGUGUUUAUUAAUUAUACUGUUUUUUAGGCAUAAAGGGCACUUGUUCAACCUAGGAAAAAACCGGUGUCCUUUAUUGAUGUUAAG